AUCUUGUCUUUGUUCUUUUGGUUCACUUGCAUCUUGUCUGACUUGUUGGCAGUCACUGGAGAAAACAACACCGAAGCAUGAUGUUGCCACCACCUUGCUUGACUGUGGCUUGCUUUGCCUUCCUUUUUGUCUUCUUCUUCAUCAUCAUCAUCAUCAUCAUCACCGUCGCUGUGACUGUCAUCGUCCUCACUCUCUGCUUGCCUGUAUUUGUGGGAAUACUCCUCCUCCUUCCACUCUCUGACUACCAGUCUCCGAAAGACGUCAUACUCUUCUGCUGACGCUUUGGCCACGUGCUCCAGGAAGGUGUCCAGGUCCACAUUGAGGAUGCUGUCCAGUUUGGGGUUGACAAUAACGGUCUGCCCCUUCUUGUCGGGUGUUUGGUACAAGCCCCGGCGCUCCAAGAAAGAGUGCCGCGUGCGCAGCUCUUCCAGCGUGGAUCGAAACAACUUGUGCUUCACCAUCUGUGCUUGUUUAAUGCCCAUUCGGAAGUAGACAUACUGUGGAUAAGCAGGAGAAUAAUAUACUGUGUAGUUUACAACAAAAUAAUUGAUCAAGUUUAUAGCAAAUCCGUAAGUCUUCCAAUCUAGUAUAAAGAACGUGAAAUGUCUCUUUUUUUUUUUUUAACAUGAUUAUUUCCCAAGAUGGCCCUAAUUCCAUUAUGAACACUUCAGACAAUUGAUGCUAUCUUAAUGAUGAUGUGAAGUGAGAUGGUCAUUAUGUGCAUGAAUUAAAAUAAAGGUGUGGGAUAAUA